GGCGAACGCUGGCGGCGUGCCUAAUACAUGCAAGUCGAGCGAGACUCUUCGGAGUCUAGCGGCGGACGGGUGAGUAACGCGUGGGCAACCUGCCUGUAAGACUGGGAUAACACCGGGAAACCGGUGCUAAUACCGGAUAAUCCUUUUUCUCUCAUGAGGAAACGCUGAAAGUCGGUUUCGGCUGACACUUACAGAUGGGCCCGCGGCGCAUUAGCUAGUUGGUGAGGUAACGGCUCACCAAGGCGACGAUGCGUAGCCGACCUGAGAGGGUGAUCGGCCACACUGGGACUGAGACACGGCCCAGACUCCUACGGGAGGCAGCAGUAGGGAAUCUUCCACAAUGGACGAAAGUCUGAUGGAGCAACGCCGCGUGAGCGAUGAAGGCCUUCGGAUCGUAAAGCUCUGUUGUUAGGGAAGAACAAGUACCGGAGUAACUGCCGGUACCUUGACGGUACCUAACCAGAAAGCCACGGCUAACUACGUGCCAGCAGCCGCAGUAAGAC
rnacentral:rRNA from 1 species